GUAAUUUGCUAAAAGGUUUUGAAUUUAUAAAUGCGGGUUCUUACAUGCGUCCAUGGAAAAAGGUGCAUUUCUGAUUGGAAACCCAUAAAAGUAUCAUCUCAGAGUGAGCUUGUGAAACCUCUUCUUGCAGCAGAGGUAUGCUUUUCAACAUUGUCUUUAUCUGCCCAAAGCUGGAGUAAGGGUAACUGGGAGGUGCUUGUGAACAAGAAGCAAAUUCGUCAUAAAAAUUUCUAAUAAAUUGAUGACAACAACUAGCCUAAAGGUUUCGGAUAGCUUAAACUGAAAUGAUAACCAGGAAUCAGUUUUGGGUUGUUGUUAAUUUUGGGCAGUGUGUUUGCAGGAUUUGUGGUGAAAUAUUGUGGUAGAAGACGAUGAAGAAUUAUUGCUGAAAAUAUGAAUAAUUAAUUGUUGCUAGAAAUUCCUUUAACCAAUUAAUGCUAUAGAAUUUGUUGUUUUUGUUGGGUUGAAAUGGUGAGGAACUGUGGGGAAAUCUGUUUAAGUUAUGCUCUUGAGUUUGAUAUUUUUAUUUGCUUGAAAUGGUUAAGAAUUGUUGAGCAAUCUGUUAUAAAUAUGAAUUUAGUGGUAUUUUUAUAAA